GAACUCUGCAUUGUUUAUGAUUAUGAUAAAGCUUUGUUUAUGAGAAAGUUGUCAUAAAGUAAUACGCGGGAUCGUUGUUAGUUUAAACUGUGCUUUGUUUAUAAAAAGGCAAAGCUUCACUAUUUCUUGAAUCUUUAUUUAUUGGAAGGAAAUUAAUUCUUAGUACUGUAUGCCAGUACUUCAUGGUUUUAAACAAUACUAAUCAUCGUAUUAAAGGCAAAUAAAGAUGUUUAACAGCAGCGCCAAACAGAGAGAUUAUGAGGAGAGACAGAGGGAGAUGAGUGCGUCGAGAAAAGCAGAGGAAAUGUCAAAAUUCAGCAGCAAUGGAUGGGAGAAAAAGGGUAUGGAGGAACAUUUCAAAACUGAAAUGGAAAGGGCUGAUUCAAGUUAUUACAAGUCCGGCAGUUCUGAAAAGGAGCAACAUUAUUGGUCUGUUCAGUAUGAAACGCAGCAGCAAAAUGUAGCAUAUGCAAUGUCUAAGAAAUAUGGUACAAACAUAAAAAAAUAAUAAUUCAAAAAAAAAUGAUUGUGCGAAUGGAACAAUCAAUAAAUUUGUGGAAGGAAGGGAUUUCAAAGUCUUCACUCCAACUCACAGAGCUUUUGGUAUUUUUUCAAAUGAAAAUUGAUUGCAGGUAAUCGAAAAUUAUAAAAUCGCUUUGUAUUAGAAUAAAUAAUGUGAACUGAAAA